AUGAAAGUUCUCAAAUGUUCUGACGUGGACCUGGAACGCAGCUCCCCAAGCAGCAGACAUGUAGUUCUUGAACAGACUGCCUGGACCAUGGUCUGAGGAGGAGGCAGUGUAUGUGUAGCUGCCCAAAGUCAAGUGUCACUGUUGUCUGCUGUCACCCAAAAGCCAUGGACAAUUUGCUAUUCUCAAGAUUUCCUGUGCUGAACAAACCCUGAAGUCCACAGAGUGACUUUCUGAUCUCCUUUCCGAUGAACAGAACUGCAUCGACCAAGUGUUGGUCACUGAGCGGCAUGGAAGAUCAUCCAUCAGAAUUAUCACAGCCUCUACAGCAGGUCUUCGUGGGGCCACAGCUAACUGCUUUGGAUGGAUCCCCCAUUUCAUCCUCAGUGACCCUAAGCUCUCAAUCCACUGAGUCCCAACCCAUUUGGCACUGUAAACUAGGGCUGAGUGAGGCCCUUGCAUAGGGCCAAGACCUGAAUCCACAGGUGACCAAUUCCCACUGGGCUGCUAAGGUAAGAACUCAGCUUCUCAGCUUUGGUAGAGAGGUCAGCCCUGGAGGAGUCCAAAGAGGAGAGGCUGUGCCUGGGGUAUCUAUCCAGAAGGGUGGCUCCUUAGGCUCCUUCAGGCUGCGAGGCCCAUCUGCCUGCACCGUGCUUCCUGUACAGACCUCUACCAGUUUCUCUGCUGCCUGACUUCUGAGACUGUGGGUAAACAUGGAAUUGGUGUCCUGCACAUGGCUUCUCAGUAGGUUUUGGUGCUGAAGCAAAGCCCACACUCCAAUUAGUCUGCAGAGGCUAGUGGUAAUGGGCUCACAGGAGGGCCCUGAAAAAAAGGGAUUCUCUUAUUAAAACUUACAUUUCACAAGGGAAACUUAGAAAUACUAGCAUGCUCAGAUCACCUCAACAAAGAGGUUGAACAGAAGUCUAGGUAUGAACAAAACCUAUGAGUCCUAAGAUGGCACCUCCCCCCCCCAGUUUAGAGAUGAGAAAAAAAGGCUCAUUCUGGAUGUUCAGGUCCAUUAAUGAGGCACUGCAGAAUGUUCCCAAGAUUAUGAUGAAAAGUCCCCAGGAAGGAAUUAAGUUCCUCUUCUAUAGCCAUGGAAGGCUGAGCCACUGUGUUCACUGCUUUCUUCUUGUGCUCAUUUAGCCCAGAGGCUCCUACCAAAGGACCUGUAGUGCAUGGAAAAAUCCCAUGAGACAAGUGCCAGAGAAUUGAACAGAGUGGACUGACAUUUGAGGUGAGCACACAUCUAGUGAGGCGAUGCUGUGUAAGAGCUGGAAACAGUUGGUGAAGACACCUUGCUAAUGGUCCUUGGACACCAUGCCCAGUACAGAAAAUGAGGUACAAUGGCAGAAUUCAUUCAUGACAAGAAAUGAAAUGAUUUUGUGUCUGUCCCCUUUCUCCUCUUCCAUGAAUAUGCAUACAGUGACCUUGCCUGGGACAAGGUAGAGGCUUAGUAGAGAGGGUGUGGUAGUUGAGCAUUUGCAAUCCAGAUUCCUUGGGAGCAAGACCAUUGGCUUAGUGUUUGACAAGCCCUGGAUGGAGAUGUUGGAAGGGUUAAUCAGACCCAAAGUUCCUCAUAGUCAUGUGUGGGCCUCCAUACAUUCCCUUCUGCUCACAUACUCUGCACUGGAGCCAAUACCUCCUGUUAUUGUGGGUCCCAUCUCUGGAGCAGGGAUGUGACACACAGGGCCCAGGGGCCACCUCCAUGCCAAUGUCCUGUGUACAGCAUGGUUGGGGCAGUGCCCAGCAGCCAACACGAAGCCUGAGACUCUGAGACACCACAGGUUUCACUUUGUGAACCCAGAUAACCUUAUGUUCCUCAAAGACUAAUACCUCUGUCCCAGACUUCUACCCAGGAGGACAGGAGAUGACUCUGGAGGCUUUGAAUAAGCAUGAGCACUGUCCUUCUCCUCCUGCCAGCCCUGUCCUGGGUAGGAACAUGACAGGAGCACAGGCUCACACUUCCCAACACCUGCCCCUGCCCCAGAGCAUCUGCCCUCACUGCCUGUCCUCAGAGCCCUUACACUGAUUGUUUAGGAUGGGAAUUGUAUAGGAGAACUCAGAGAGGUGGCCAGGACUUAAUGUAUUGUCCUCUAGUUGGGUAUCUGAGUGGCUGGUGGCUGAGCCUAGGGACACCUGUCCUGGACUCCCUCUUGUUUCUGAUGUCUUGGGGGUUGGGGCUCUUGGGCCCUGCCCUGUGCUGCCCUUGAUAUUAGGCAGUUCCCAGUGAGCUUCCUGAAACAUCUUGGCCCAGUGAACCAUCCUUUCACUCAUUUGCAUGUGGUUUUCCCAUGCAGGGUCAAGAGGCUUGGGCUUCAAAGCCUCAGAAAACAGCACAGCAUAUUCACUGGUCACUCUCAUGAGCCAAGUGCUGGUGAAGGUCAACUGCCACCAGGCAAUAGUGCCUGGUAACCAGAACCUUCAAAGUUCUGUUUAGACCUGUUGCCAAGGAAGUUGUGUCAUGUUCUGGGGUCCAUAGCUGGGCUGCCCCCUCUGAUGCCUCCUUUCUUUUUAUUGUGGAACAAAUUUGUGUUCCUUAGAAAUGGCAAGUGAAAAACUAGAAAACAGAAUGAGGUUUUACACUUUUCUUCACUUUGAAAUACUUCAUACAACAGACAUGUAGAUGCUUCAGAAGUGGCAGGCUGGGUGCCAAGUGCACAUUUCCAUCCAAAAAGUCUUUUUCAUUGAGAAUUAGGCUUCACUUAAAGAUCUGUCAAAUUUUAGGAUGAGUUUCUUUCCUUGGCUUAUGUUACUUUCAUUUCAACUCCAUUAGGGAGUAUAAAGAUGUUGCCAGAAUAACCAUAAUAAUUUUCUUUGAAGUAUGUGAAUAUUUCAUGUUAUAACCUCCUCCUGUCCAGGGGAUGAGGAUUCCUAACAAGUUUUACUCUCAUGGGCCUAUGAGUGAUUACUUAUUCAUCCUUAGAUAUUUAACUCAGCCACACACUGUAGCUCCAUACUAUGAUAUCCUGUGGAGGGGAGAGCAGGUGGUGAUUGCAAGGGGAGGCUUUCCAAGGCAAUGGACAUCAUCAUCCCAUGCUAAGGAAGGACACAUGCACAUCACUCCUGGGGAACUUGUCUCAUAGCAACUGGUAUCACUUCCAUUCCUCCCAUCCCAAACACACCAUGUGUUUGUGUCCCUGCUGGGUAGUUUGCCUUUCCUAGAGGUGAUGGCCCUGAGGCUGAUCAGGCAAAAUGCUCAUGGGUUGGUCUCCUUUAAGCAGUGUAUCCCUCCUGGGCUCCCAGUGUGCUGCCACCACAUGCCAUUGGGGGGCUGAACAAAACCAGCUAUCACUUGUUCAUACACCCCUCACCCAUCUGCUGAUGUCCAUUUCUUCUGUUUCUGGGUCAACCCUUGAAAGCAAGCUGCCACAGCCAUUCUUAUAUAUGGGCUUGAGUGAAUGCAGUCUUUCAUUUCAAAGAAAAACUACUUAAAUGUGAAAUUAAUGGAUUACAGUAUAGUUUAUGACUUAGAAAUUCUUAAAGUAUCUUUGGAAGCAGUGGUUUAAAGCAGAGUUAAGUGGUUGCAUUUUGUUUUGUUUUAUUAUGGUGUACUGUGCUAUGCUAUAUUAUGUUACAUUAUGUUGUAUGUUGGUGAGGAUUUUGAAACUGUAUUUUCUGUGGUUUCUGAUUUGAUUUUGUAUAUUCAACCUGAGAAAAUAUAAGAAUAUCACAUAACUCUGAUUAAGUUAAUUUGGAGAAAAUUUUAAAAGGAAAACACAUUCAGUGAUGUUGGUACACAUCUGUCAUUUUAGUUCUCAGAGGUUGAGGCAGGGGGAUUGUUGUAAGUUUGAAGUCAUCCGGGGCUACAAGGGUAGAUCAAGGCCAGCUUCAACUGCAUAGCAGAACCCAAUCUCAAAAAAAGAAUGAAAGAAAAAAAGAAAGAUAGAAAAAAAAGAAGAGAAAAAUUAAAAAGUUUAAAAAUACAAAGUCAAAUAUCACCGGUGAAUUCAGAGUAAAAACAUAUGUGAGUUUUUCUUGCAAAUGUACUUUAUUCAGCACACCUAGCAUAAGGUUUACCAUUAUGUAGACAUUGAUGUGCUUCCAGGUCUGCAUUGUUUUAAUUUUUUUGAGUAUUUUACAGAGAUGACUGCAGAUAUGCUACUGAAUAUACUUUCUUAGGAUUUGGGUAGCUCAGUGUGAAGAGAAUGUGAUCAUUGCUUUUUUUCCUCUCCUAAAUUUAUAUUUAUAAUCAGAAGUUGAUCAAGGGAUUGCUAUUUUUUUGAAAUAAUCAUAAGGACCAUAUAAAAGAUACUCUUUUUAACUCUAUAUAAAAUAAAAUAAUUGUAGAAUUGUUGGGAGCCUGCCAUGUUAUUCAUGAGAGCAUAUUCAUAAGAUGGCACCCACCUGCUGCCUCCGCUGCUCCCCCACCCAUCGUGUGCCCAAGAUGGCACACACAUCCUGCUUCCUGGUUCUUGCUCGGCUUACUGUCCCCACCAUAUAUGGUAAUGAUUGAUUGCUUCCUUGUUGCCGCCCAAUCGCCUGUCCCCACGUGUAAUCCCAUGAUUGGAUAACAUUAGCUAUAUAAGCCCAAGUAUAGGAAGUGCCCGACGCACAACAUGGAAGAAGCCGUCGAGGACGGACAUGUAUUGAGGUUGCUGCUCAGUCAAUAAAGGUGCUUGCAGAGGCUGAGUGUUCGUGUGCUCCAUUCCACGGGACGG